rnacentral:rRNA from 1 species
CCUACGGGUGGCAGCAGUGGGGAAUAUUGCACAAUGGGGGAAACCCUGAUGCAGCGACGCCGCGUGAGUGAAGAAGGAUUUCGGUACGUAAAGCUCUAUUAGCAGGGAAGAAAAUGACGGUACCUGACUAAGAAUCCCCGGCUAACUACGUGCCAGCAGCCGCGGUAAUACGUCGGGGGCAAGCGUUAUCCGGAUUUUCUGGGUGUAAAGGGAGCGUAGUCGGCGGCGCAAGUCUGAAGUGAAAUCCCAUGGCUUAACCAUGGAACUGCUUUGGAUACUGUUCAGCUGGAGUGCAGGAGAGGUAAGCGGAAUUCCUAGUGUAGCGGUGAAAUGCGUAGAUAUUAGGAGGAACACCAGUGGCGAAGGCGGCUUACUGGACUGUAACUGACGUUGAGGCUCGAAAGCGUGGGGAGCAAACAGGAGUAGAUACCCGGGUAGUC